AGCUUUGCGCAGUGGCAAUAUCGUAACCAAUGAGGUACAACCGAGGUGCGAUUAUUGCUAGUUGAAAACUACAACAUGAUAUAUAUAGAUUUGAUGUUAAAAGUUCACAUUAUGAUUAAACACCCGUGUGU